UUUGGAGUGGCAAUCUGAUUUACAACCCCCAAUAUCAAGGCAGCUGCGGAAGCACAAGUCUUAAGCAUAUGCCCAAGAAAAAGGAACAGGAAGCGAUGGGAAUGUCAAAAGAGCCCUGGGGGACUUCAGCCAUGCGUUCCAGCUCUCUCUGCUGCACCCCGCCGCUCCCGCCGGCGUUGCUGUCGCUGCUACCACUGCCGCCGCUGCUGCCCUCUUCCAUGUUCCUGACCGCGCGGUUGCCACUCUGCCUUUGCUGUCCCGGCGGGUGCGCCUGGCGUUUGGAUCAAUGUGCCCUCCCCGAGGCCGCCCCGGCCAUCUUUGUUCCGGGCGGUGCCGUGGCUCAGACGCGAUUGGCUGGUGAGGGAAUCCCUGCGGAACCCGGGAUGGCACCACCCACAACUGAGAAAAUGCCUUACAGCUGGAUCUCAUGGAGGGAUUUCCUCAACUGAGGCUCCUUCUUCACUGACGACUCUAGCUUGUGUCAAGUUGAACUUGGGGCAGCC
rnacentral:lncRNA from 1 species